rnacentral:rRNA from 1 species
UACAGAGGGUGCAAGCGUUGUUCGGAAUUACUGGGCGUAAAGGGCGCGUAGGCGGCCUUCUAAGUCGAACGUGAAAUCCCUGGGCUCAACCCAGGAACUGCGUCCGAUACUGGAAGGCUUGAAUCCGGGAGAGGGAUGCGGAAUUCCAGGUGUAGCGGUGAAAUGCGUAGAUAUCUGGAGGAACACCGGUGGCGAAGGCGGCAUCCUGGACCGGUAUUGACGCUGAGGCGCGAAAGCCAGGGGAGCAAACGGG